GGCCAAAGUGAUAUCCUCUACGAGGGGCUCAUCAUUGCCCUUCUCUUGAACAUGGCAUCUCGGCAUACCUAAGGUCUUGGUGAAUCAAGGGAUGCUUAUUUUCUUUGACUUCCUUUGGCCACUUAA
ensembl:snoRNA